ACGAACGCUGGCGGCUGCUUAACACAUGCAAGUCGAACGGAGUGGCGAACGGGUGAGUAACGCGUGAGCAACCUGCCUAUGACAGGGGGAUAGCCUCGGGAAACCGGGAUUAAUACCGCAUAGUCAUAGAUGGGCUCGCGUCUGAUUAGCGAGUUGGUGAGAUAACAGCCCACCAAGGCGACGAACAGUAGCCGGUCUGGGAGGAUGAACGGCCACAAUGGAGCUGCGACACGGUCCAAACUCCUACGGGAGGCAGCAGUGGGGAAGAUUGCACGAUGGGGGAAAACCUAGUGAAGCGGCGCGGCGUGAACGAAGAAUGUAUUCGUAUCGUAAAGUUCUGUCCUAUGAAAAGCAGUACCAUGGAAGGAAGCUCCGGCUAAAUACGUGCCAGCAGCCGCGGUAAUAC
rnacentral:rRNA from 1 species